UACGGGGGGAGCAAGCGUUGUUCGGAUUUACUGGGCGUAAAGGGCACGUAGGCGGCCACCGCAAGUCAGUUGUGAAAUCUCUGGGCUUAACCCAGAAAGGUCAGCCGAUACUGCGGGGCUAGAGUGCAGAAGGGGCAACUGGAAUUCUCGGUGUAGCGGUGAAAUGCGUAGAUAUCGAGAGGAACACCUGCGGCGAAGGCGGGUUGCUGGGCUGACACUGACGCUGAACUGCGAAAGCUAGGGGAGCGAACGGG
rnacentral:rRNA from 1 species